CUUGAGUUCUGGAGAGGUGAGUGGAAUUGCUAGUGUAGAGGUGAAAUUCGUAGAUAUUAGCAGGAACACCAGAGGCGAAGGCGGCUCACUGGACAGAUACUGACGCUGAGGCACGAAAGUGUGGGGAGCAAACAGGAUUAGAUACCCUGGUAGUCCACACCGUAAACGAUGAGAGCUAGUUGUCUGCAAGCAUGCUUGUAGGUGACGCAGCUAACGCAUUAAGCUCUCCGCCUGGGGAGUACGGUCGCAAGAUUAAAACUCAAAGAAAUUGACGGGGGCCCGCAUAAGCGGUGGAGCAUGUGGUUUAAUUCGAAGCAACGCGCAGAACCUUACCUACCCUUGACAUGCCGGUCGCGAUUUCCAGAGAUGGAUUUCUCCAAUUCGGUUGGACCGUGCACAGGUGCUGCAUGGCCGUCGUCAGCUCGUGUCGUGAGAUGUUGGGUUAAGUCCCGCAACGAGCGCAACCCUCACUUUUAGUUGCCAGCAUUUAGUUGGGCACUCUAGAAGAACUGCCGGUGCUAAGCCGGAGGAAGGUGGGGAUGACGUCAGGUCCUCAUGGCCCUUACGGGUAGGGCUACACACGUGCUACAAUGGCGCUGACAGAGGGUUAAUCCCUAAAAGGCGUCUCAGUUCGGAUUGUUCUCUGCAACUC
rnacentral:rRNA from 1 species